UACGGGGGGAGCAAGCGUUGUUCGGAUUUACUGGGCGUAAAGCGUGCGCAGGCGGUCUGUUAAGACCGAUGUGAAAUCCCCGGGCUUAACCUGGGAACUGCAUUGGUGACUGGCAGGCUUUGAGUGUGGCAGAGGGAGGUAGAAUUCCACGUGUAGCAGUGAAAUGCGUAGAGAUGUGGAGGAAUACCGAUGGCGAAGGCAGCCUCCUGGGCCAACACUGACGCUCAUGCACGAAAGCGUGGGGAGCAAACAGG
rnacentral:rRNA from 1 species